AUGGUAACCGCAGACGCCUCAACAUCGCGUCGUCUGAUUGGUUGCUGUGUGUCUCCACACUCCGGAUUCGAGCUUGUGUGUGUUGUCUUCUCAAAAAUAUGUGACGACCUUCAGCAAUGCGAUUCAACGGCCAGAAAUAUUCCCGAUCCUCACAGACAUGAGAGUGAUGAAGAUAUUGUCAACAUGCCUCUCCAAGACAGAAAGUCUAGAGGACCAAACAGAUCAAAUCCCAAACCUAAAGAUAAGUAAGUCACCGGCCAAACUAUUACUGAGGAGACUGAUAUUUCUCUGCUGAUAUUUAUAAUGUCUUUUAAAAAUAUUUUUUAGGGAGCUUCUUGAUCUCAAGAGGCUUUUAUCACUGAUCACAGCUCCAGUGUCAAAACAGGUAAAAAAUUAAUUUAAAUAAAUGUUUGGUUUUCAGAUGACUUAAAUCGUAAAUUUGCAUUACAAUUAUUUUUGCUGCUUCAAUUCAAAAUCAGGAAUUGAACUGCGAUGUGAAUUGUGCAUGAGCCUGGGUUUAAGUUUGACAAUAGUUAACGUAGUUGAUUCAUCUCCGCUCACUAUCUCAGGUUUCAUCUUUGAAUCAAUCCAAGGGACG
rnacentral:lncRNA from 12 species